rnacentral:rRNA from 1 species
UACGGGGGGGGCAAGCGUUGUUCGGAAUUACUGGGCGUAAAGGGCUCGUAGGUGGCCAAUUAAGUCAGGCGUGAAAUCCCCAGGCUCAACUUGGGAACUGCGUCUGAUACUGGUUGGCUUGAAUUCGGGAGAGGGAUGCAGAAUUCCAGGUGUAGCGGUGAAAUGCGUAGAUAUCUGGAGGAACACCGGUGGCGAAGGCGGCAUCCUGGACCAAUAUUGACGCUGAGGAGCGAAAGCCAGGGGAGCAAACGGG